rnacentral:lncRNA from 1 species
UGGCUGCCACCUAAGAAGGCUAAAAAGGCCUGACCAAGAGUGGUUCUUCUAACCACCAGCCAAAGCUGCACACCACCAAGUCAAUAGCAGCUUAACUGCAAGAGAAGGAGGAGAUUUAUUAUUUUUGAAUCCAAUAAGGAGAAGGAGAGUGAGCAGUUUGGUUCCAAAAAGAAAAAGGAAGAAAAAGAAGACUCCUUGAAGAAGAUAGCAAAAGGAUUCCCAAAACUAGUUGAACUCAAACACUUAAGAAGAAGGGAGGGGAAAAACUAGGAUCUUGAUGACCAUAAAGACCUUCUCCUAUAUACAUUAUAAAUCCAAAAAUAAGAAGAAUUCUACAUAUCCAUGGAGGAAUCUUUACUAGAAAAGAG